AGUGGGGGACAACGUUCCGAAAGGAGCGCUAAUACCGCAUACGUCCUACGGGAGAAAGUGGGGGAUCUUCGGACCUCACGCUAUCAGAUGAGCCUAGGUCGGAUUAGCUAGUAGGUGGGGUAAUGGCUCACCUAGGCGACGAUCCGUAACUGGUCUGAGAGGAUGAUCAGUCACACUGGAACAGAGACACGGUCCAGACUCCUACGGGAGGCAGCAGUGGGGAAUAUUGGACAAUGGGCGAAAGCCUGAUCCAGCCAUGCCGCGUGUGUGAAGAAGGUCUUCGGAUUGUAAAGCACUUUAAGUUGGGAGGAAGGGCAGUAAGUUAAUACCUUGCUGUUUUGACGUUACCAACAGAAUAAGCACCGGCUAACUUCGUGC
rnacentral:rRNA from 1 species